GGCAGCGGAGAGGUAGCAAUACCUUUGCCGGCGACCGGCGCACGGGUGAGUAACACGUAUGCAAUCCACCUGUAACAGGGGGAUAACCCGGAGAAAUCCGGACUAAUACCCCAUAAUAUGGGCGCUCCGCAUGGAGAGUCCAUUAAAGAGAGCAAUCUUGGUUACAGACGAGCAUGCGCUCCAUUAGCCAGUUGGCGGGGUAACGGCCCACCAAGGCGACGAUGGAUAGGGGUUCUGAGAGGAAGGUCCCCCACAUUGGAACUGAGACACGGUCCAAACUCCUACGGGAGGCAGCAGUGAGGAAUAUUGGUCAAUGGUCGGCAGACUGAACCAGCCAAGUCGCGUGAGGGAAGACGGCCCUACGGGUUGUAAACCUCUUUUGUCGGAGAGUAAAGUACGCUACGCGUAGCGUAUUGCAAGUAUCCGAAGAAAAAGCAUCGGCUAACUCCGUGCCAGCAGCCGCGGUAAUACGGAGGAUGCGAGCGUUAUCCGGAUUUAUUGGGUUUAAAGGGUGCGUAGGCGGCACGCCAAGUCAGCGGUGAAAUUUCCGGGCUCAACCCGGAGUGUGCCGUUGAAACUGGCGAGCUAGAGUACACAAGAGGCAGGCGGAAUGCGUGGUGUAGCGGUGAAAUGCAUAGAUAUCACGCAGAACCCCGAUUGCGAAGGCAGCCUGCUAGGGUGAAACAGACGCUGAGGCACGAAAGCGUGGGUAUCGAACAGGAUUAGAUACCCUGGUAGUCCACGCAGUAAACGAUGAAUACUAACUGUUUGCGAUACAAUGUAAGCGGUACAGCGAA
rnacentral:rRNA from 1 species